GAAAUGCGAUAAGUAAUGUGAAUUGCAGAAUUCCGUGAAUCAUCGAAUCUUUGAACGCAGAUUGCGCCCUCUGGCAUUCCGGGGGGCAUGCCUGUCCGAGCGUCAUUACGCACCCUCAAGCCCGGCUUGAGUGAUGGGCCCCGGCGUCUCGUUCGCGAGACGGGCCCGAAAGGCAGCGGCGGCGUCGACCCGAUGAGCCCGAGCGUAUGGGGACUUCUGUCACACGUUCGCGGUGCGGACCGGCGCCUGCUUGACUUUUCUGAUUAUCCAGGUUGACCUCGGAUCAGGUAGGGAUACCCGCUGAACUUAAGC
rnacentral:misc_RNA from 1 species